rnacentral:lncRNA from 1 species
CGCAAGAUCAUUUCUCAAGUUUAAACAAAUCACGUUUUUUGCAUAACUAAUAUCUCUGACAUUAGCCUACAUAAAUGCUCUGAAAAAUAUUAUUUAAUAUGAUAUUUUUCCAUGUCAUUCUCAGAGGAACCAACUGAAGCUCCUCCAACCACCAUGGCUGCACCAACCACUCUGCAUGUUACCUAUGAGGAUCCAACUGAAGCUCCUCCAUCCACAAAGGCUGCACCAACUGCUCUGCAGGCUACAAACGAUCCCUUCCAGUCAACAUGCAGUCUCAACCUGGCCUCUCUGGUUUACACAGUGAUGAUCGUGAAGAGCAUGGUGUACUGCUGUGCGCUCUCUCUCCUGCUGCACAACAGGAACCUGGGAAGUAGACCCAGCACCAGUAGACCCAUACAUUGAAAGGAUAUGCCCCAGUGGGGAUAGAGUUGUAGUGGGCUGGGAACAACAAGGAUUUUACACCCCAUUGUGGUCUCAGAUUUCAUUUGUGUUCAUUUUAUUUUUUUCCUGUUUUAUUUUUUUAAAUGCUAAAAUAUUGUGAGCCAUAGAUUUACACGUCUUCAACAGCUAAUUAUGACAUUAAUUGCAAAACAUUUAAAUUGAGUAUAUUGUGUUUCCCUCCUUAACAUUUAAAUUAAUAUCAUAUUUUACUUUUGAUGAUGUUGGGAGCUACACACUGCAGACACUUGAAUAAAGAUUAAAUUAAGGUUUUCAGAAAAUGAAGAAUCGGACAUCUUUAAGGUAGAUCCUUAUGGUUAAAAUAUAGAUUGUUUUAUGAAUGUUGCCCUGCAAUAUCUGUCAUAGUGGUAAAUUAUUUUCACAAAAUCUGUAUUUGAUUUACACAAAAUAUUUAACUAAAUAUUAUAUCUAUCAAAAUAUUUUAUUAUUAAAU